AGGUAAUAGUCUGGGAAACUGCCUGAUGGAGGGGGAUAACUACUGGAAACGGUAGCUAAUACCGCAUAACGUCGCAAGACCAAAGUAGGGGGACCUUCGGGCCUCAUGCCAUCAGAUGUGCCCAGAUGGGAUUAGCUAGUAGGUGGGGUAACGGCUCACCUAGGCGACGAUCCCUAGCUGGUCUGAGAGGAUGACCAGCCACACUGGAACUGAGACACGGUCCAG
rnacentral:rRNA from 1 species